UUUUUACUAUUAUUAUUAUUUAAAAUUGUCCAAGCUGCUCUGCAACCGUCGGACAACAGUAUAAUUCUGUAAGCCUGGAACCUGUACAGACUGCAUGGUACAGGUUUGGUGAAGAAGUUCGACCAGUACUUGGGAGAAAUGUUUCCCGAACCUGGUUAGAAGACGACAUUGUGGUUCACCUUCAACUUGAGUUUGCGGAGGUUACUGAUGAGGACUCUGGAGAAUACACCUGCAAGAUGGAGAAUCAGUAUGGUUUUAUUGAAAAAACUGUUACUUUGAAAAUUAUAAAUGGAACAAAGGCUCUCACAACUAAAGGCGAAGAAAAGAGAGAAGCUAGAUGAGAGCUAGAUAUUCAGAAAUCUAAGAAAUUCUGCAUCAAACUAUUUGACUAACAGGAAU